rnacentral:lncRNA from 10 species
CUGGAGGGCAAUUUGGCAAUACACAUCAAAAGCCUUACACAUGUGCAAACCCUUUGGUGCAGCAAUUCCACUUUUAGUCAUUUAUUCUAAGGAGAUAAUCAUGGAAAUAAGCUAUAUUUAUUCCCAGGAUGUUGACUGUAAGGGUGAAAAAUUGUCAAUAUAAAUAAUUUAACUUUGAGACUAAAUAAAUGAUAUAUCGGAUCAAAUACAAUGUAGCCAUUACAUUCUCUAAGGAUUUUUAAUGAUGCAGAAAAGUCUCAUGCUAUAUUUAGUGAAAAAAAUAGUACAAAAAAGUAUGUCCAAUGUAAUUGUAUUUUAGAUUAUGAGACUGACGUGCUGCCCACUGCACUAAGAAGGCACUUGUAAUUCUAUUUUUAAAGCAAUAAAUAUAAAAGCAAACUUGGAUAUAAGAAAUACUAGAACCACCACCAAGAUAAGAGGACUUAUCUGUGAGUGGCAGAAUUAGAGAUGCUUUUUCCUUGUGUUUUUCUCCAUUGUCCAAAUGUUUUACAAUAAACAUGCUUUUUGUUGUAAUCAGAAGAGGCUGUUAAUGCAUCCUCGGGAGCAGAGAGGACAGGCCAGCCUCUGUACACGGAGGGCAUGGACAGGGCGAGCCGGGCCCUUGUCGGCUCUGACUUCCUCAAGUCCACAACCUGCCCCACAGAUGUGGGUGGCCCCUAUGCCCCGUGUCCUCCAGCCACUCCUAUCAGGUCCACACAUGGACCUGGUUUCAGCUGAGGCAGCUGGCCUGAGUUAAUCCAGAAAAGCACCGACAGUCUCCACCACCAGAGUCUCCUGCCAGACUCUAUCCUUGCUCUUAGAAAGUGAUAAGAUAUUGGCACAAAGAGAAAAAAGUAAGUCCUCCCUGAGGCUGGUCCUGAAGUUUACUAAGCUACAAAAAAACACAAAAAACAAACAAACAAAACAAAAAACCAAAAAAUGCUUUUUCUAAAACCGACCAUUCUCAAAGGUGUUUUUCUUUCCAAAUAUUGCAAAUUUAUACUGAGUAGGUUAGAAUGAUUUCUGAAACCCAUCUUUUCUUCUAUUGAGACUGUCAACGAUGAGGAAAGACAGUGAUAUUUAUAGAAGGGCUGCCACACACAGGACUGGAAAUGGCCUCUGUGUCUCACACUCAGUUAACCCCGCUCUGCAGGUGUGAUCUCCCCAGGCCCAAGUAGCCUGCCCAAGUCCACACAGGUGACUGACUCAAAGCCACGGUGAUCCUCUGCACAUGAGGGGCCUCCGAGGUGGCCCAGGCCCUUCAGCACGAGGCAGUCACCCCAGCCUCUGGGAUGACCACAUGGAGCCAUCUGCAAAUAUACCCCAGGCUGAGAGCCGGGCAGAGCCCUCCUGUCCUCCACAGGCCAAGAGAUAGGAAUUUCCACUCAGGACUGGGCCCCAGGAGCCUGCGAAAGGUCCUCCCCUUCCUCGAAUGGGGAAGCUGAGCGGGGUGUCUGCCCCACCCUGUGGGUCUCACGGAAGGAGUGGCCCAGGUGGUGGUGUGAGAACGAGGGGUCUGGAGGCACACAGCUGGUCUUGCUCCUGGUGCUGGCGACGUGAACGCCCUGAAUCCAGCCCACCCAGGGAAGACGCCUACCUCCGUGUGGAAAUGGGGGUCUGUGUGUAAGCUGGGGCUGGGCGACCUCAGGAAGAAGGCCAUCAUGGGCUGUGAUACCAGCUUCCUGGAGACGUUGACAGGGUGCCCUCAUCCCUCACCAGGCCCAGCCUGCUCAGGCCUCCCAGUGACUGGGGAGCUGCUGGUAGGACCAGGGGCACGGCUGCCAGAGCUGCCUACACAGAGGAAGUGGGGGGGCUUGCUGGACCCCAGCUCUCUUCCUUCCAAGAAAGCUCCCAGUGUCAAGCCUGAGGGACGCCCGCGGGGCUCCACACACAUCCUUCUCUCCGUUCCCAGCCCCGACAGUCACAGCGCCCCUUCUCCAGGCCAGGCCCAGGUGUGAGGGAGCCCGAUACCACCCCCACACUCAGCUUCGUCUUUAAUUCCCGACAGUCCUGUCAUGGCCCCAGGGACAGCAGCCCCGGGUUUGGCCUGGCUCGCGUUCUGGGUGCUCUAAGCCAAGGGGCUUUCCUUUCCCCAGGCUUCACAGCGAGUGAGCUGCAGAGAUGAGAGCCACGCCCAGCUACUCCAUCCGCACCCAGCCUCCUGCCUGUCGGCCACAGGGCCAGCUGCCGGCACCCAACUGGGUCCUGGGAGGAAGGAGUGAGGGAGAAGAGGCCUCUGUGGGACGCAGACCCUGGCACCUGCUCUGGUGUGGCUGAGAACAAGCCCCCUGCCCCUCCCCCGGGGCAGCAGGCAGCAUCCUCUCCGAUGCUCGAGGCUGGUGGGGAACGGACCGGACCGCUGGGUCACUUUGCUCAGAGGAAACAAUGGAGAAGAGGGGGAGGAAACCACUCAUCUACACCCCACCCUCUCCCCUCUGGACCUGUGAAUACAGAGUAACCCGGGGUGAAGGGAACUGCGUCAUGCCAGGAGUGGUUCUGUUAGUCUCCGGUCCUCCCGAGCCGGUACUGGUACAGCGAAUAAUGCCAAGAUGCGGGGCUGAACUUUCCAGCGAAAGCCUGUGCUUCCCCAAGAUGCUGGACGCCCAAAGAGUCUGAGAGGCCAGGCUGCUCAUUGCUGGGGGAGCUGCCCGGACUGCCUGGGAGAUCCCAAACUUGACUCAGCCCAGCACGGGGCCACUCCAGCAUGAAGUCAAUGUUCCCCAGAGUUACCACCAAGUCCUGGAGGGCUGGGUUUGUGACACAUCAUGUGCCUUCAUCUCUGCAUUCACAGAGCAGGAAAUUGAAGCUCAGCGAAGGUGAGCACCUUCUCUUAAGGUCACUCAGCCGAGAGGAAGCAGAGUGGACCCCACGUCAAGUCUCCCUGGUGCUGGGGCUGGCCUCCUCUCCUCCGCUGCAGGACCGGGGACCACCGCUCUCUAUCACCAGCCGUCCUGACUGCACAGAUCUGUCCCGAAUCAGCCAGCAUUUCCCUCCCUGCAUCUUCCUGCCCUGGAGGCACAAAAUGAAUCUGCCCCUCCCCUGACGGCCCUGCCAAUCUCUUCUGCUGCUGGGCUCCCCCUACUCUUUCUGACAUCCCAGGACCUCCGGAUGCUGCUGCCACGACCCUCAACCCCCGCACAGGACCUGACAGCGGCACAGCCACGCUGCGUCUUGCUGCUGACGUGGUGCUCACUUGGCCGGGGCUAGGACAUCUAUCCCAGGAAUGCGCUAGCUUUUGGGUUAAUUUUAAGAGAUCUGCCAAGGGAUGACACCACAGCCAAACUGGAACCAGCCAGUCUCCUGUUAUCGAGUGAUGACGAGGAGCGGUGGCUGGGACAGGGAGUCCUCUGCCCACUGGGAAGAGGCCCAGCCCUCCAGUGGAGCACGCCACAGUGCGGGGGCUGGACUGUUGGCUCUUGGCUGGACUUACUGAAGAAGCAGUGGCAGGUGGAUUCAGUGCCACCCAGACACCUGCUCGAGGUGCUCUGCCUUGCCUCCAGGGCAGCCCUGGAGAUCUGUGCAGCCUUUACCUCCCCAGAGCUCACGCUAAUCGCCUCCACAGAAAGACCACGGCUGCUGAGGAGCAGAAGAGACAGGAGCGCAGACAGAGUUAAAUCAAGGCUCAGGGAAAGAAUAUUGGUUUAAGAGAAAAGGGUGAAGAGAGCAAAAAAAUAAAUGACAAAUUACCGGGUAGCCAUCUCGUCCUGAUUGCCCCUGUGGUAAUUAAUAUGUCAUUAAUAAUCAGAGUUUCGGCAGAAACCAUAUGGCAACACUUAGAGCUCAAUCAGGGCCCAGACCCACACCCGCCCCCCGACAGCUGGUUGGUGACUUCCUCUGCAGCGGGAGGACUCAAGGGCUCCAGGGGUCUUGGGGGCAGAGCAGCCCUUUCCUGCCUCAGAGGGCCAGGCUGGAGGGACCAAGAGCCUCAGGGCUUCAUCGGGGCUCCGGGCACAGUCACAUGUGUGCCCUCCCCACGCUGGCCAGGCAUAGGGUAAAUGCCACGUGGGGACGUGGGGUUCUGGAGGGUGCAGCCACAACCACACGACCAACCAGGAACUGAAAAUGCUCCUUAAACUAGGCCUGGAAGAGAGCCUGUUUCCUCUCAGUUGCCACUGGGAUGGGGUGAACCAAGAAAGAGAGCCUUAGAAGCCAGGAAUAUCGGGGGGCGUUCACUGUGGCUGCAUGCUUCUCUGCCCCCUAGUUCCAGACCCUGGAGCAGUGACCACCCUGCCUGUGUUCCACACUUGGGCACCCAUCUCCCAGGUCAGACCCUUCCAGGUUGCAGCUUGAGAAUUUCUGCAUUUGUUUAAUUCAUUUACUAUUUUAACUGCCAAGUUAAAAAAGAAACAAAAAAAACACUCUAUAGCCCCCGGCGUUAGGUACUUCAGCAAGUUCACACACGCUAGCCUCCCUGAGACAGCCAGGAAGAACUCAGCUGCCAAACAUCGCUUGAAGCCAAUAAAUCAACACAAUCCUGCUGUCUUGCUUGGCUCACGGUGGGGCUGCAUGCACCGAGAAGCCCAGAUUCCGAAGGGCACUGAUCGGGAAACCAAUCAUGGUACACGGAAGUAAAAAAUAAAAGGGCUCAUCUGAAAGGAAUUCCUUGAGAAGGCUGAUUUUGGCUCUGACUGUCAAUGUGCUUCUUGAGUGGAUUAACUGGGAUUUACCGGGCUCUGAAAAACUGACAGCAUGAAUCAAAGGCAGGCACAUCCUUUGCCCUGGAGAAUGAAUGGGAUUUCUAGGACCACUUGCAAUCCCCUGCAUUCAAACCUGCCUCUGGCCGGCCAGGAGAAGUUCAAGGGAGCUGCCCAGUGCUUCCCUCAUACCCUUCACACCCCUCACAAAUGCAGUGACAUUUUCCUCCUGCUCCAGUGCCAUGCCCUCACCAGCCAGGUGUGCUCACAAGGUCUCAGCUGUCUGAUCCACAUUCUGGCAAAGAAGAAAAAUGAACCCCAGGGUCUAGUGGUCAAGCCCGACUAAUUCCUGGGACAACUGCCCGACUCUACAGCUCUUUCUGCCAAAGCACGGGACACUGAAGCAUUUAGAAACGUCAACUGUCACGGAGCAUUUUAAAGCUACGGACAUGGUGCUAGCAUUUCCGUGUACCAAGGUGAGCCCAAGAUUUGGUGAGGAACAACCAGGCUUGUGCGCUGGCUCUCUUGCUAGGAAAAUGGUCACAGAACGUUCCGGCGAACAGGUCAAGCCUGUGGAAUUCUGUGCCUGCAUUCAUCUACAAAUUAAAAUAUAACAUGACUCCUGUAUGACUGAUUUUUUCCCCCCAAACACAUGAGUUUUUGUUUUUGUGUUUGAGACGGGGUCUCAUUCUGUCUGCUGCCCAGGCUGGAGUGCAGUGGUGCGAUCUCGACUCACUGCAACCUCUGCCUCCUGGGUUCAAGCAAUUUUUCGUGCCUCGAUUUCCUGAGUAGCUGGGGUUACAGGCACCCGCCACCACGCCUGGCUAUUUUUUGUAUUUUUAGUAGAGACGAGGUCUCACUAUGUUGGCCAGGCUGGUCUCAAACUUCUGAUCUCAAGUGAUCUGUCCACCUUGGCCUCCCAAAGUGCUGGGAUUCCAGGCGUGAGCCACCGCACCUGGCCACUUUUUAAUAGGACUGAUGUUUUCUGAGGACACACCUCCCUAACCAAAAUUAUGUUCAUGGAAUUGCAACAGAGAGAGAACCAAACAUCUUAUCUUUCAGAAGCAGACAGCACAGUCCAGGACACUUACUGGAGGACCUGCAAAACACAAGCAGAGAAGCCACAGUCAGUGUGGAAGGCAGAGUCCCCUCGCCUGUCCUCAGCACGGUCCCCUCACCUGUCCUCAGCACGGCUCCUGGCCACCUCUCCCCGGAAGGCUUUGAUGCUGCCAUGGCUGUUUCCUGCCACGGCCUGAAGCUGGGGGCAGAGCAGAAGGAGCACCUUUGCCCUUGGAGGGGCCGGGAUGGUCACGGGGGUGGUGGUGACAGUUCCCACAUGCAUGGGUGCAUGCAUUCAUGUCACCAGGCAGCUUUGGGUUCUGGCACUGAGUAGGAAUUGGAACAUGUUCCUACUUAAAGGACAAGCUCUGGUGCUCCUGAGGGGAUGGUUUAUUUCUAUUGAGGGCAGACUGGGGGAGCAAACAUUUUGGACAGAGAGAAUACUGGGAGGAAUGGCAAAUGGGUGUGGCUGAACAGGCUUUUUGGGGGAGGGGGCUCCUGCUGCCCAGCUCCAGGGUUAGAAAUGCAUGAGGAGUAGCAGGGCCUGGGGCUGCAGCUGAGGCUUGUCUACCAGAUGAGGGCUCACAGAGAACCCUUAUGAGGCCCACAG